rnacentral:rRNA from 1 species
UACGUAGGCAGCGAGCGUUGUUCGGAGUUACUGGGCGUAAAGGGGGUGUAGGCGGUUGUUUAAGUUUGGUGUGAAAUCUCCCGGCUCAACUGGGAGGGUGCGCCGAAUACUGAAUGACUUGGAGUGCGGGAGAGGAAAGUGGAAUUCCUGGUGUAGCGGUGAAAUGCGUAGAUAUCAGGAGGAACACCGGUGGUGUAGACGGCUUUCUGGACCGUAACUGACGCUGAGACACGAAAGCGUGGGUAGCAAACAGG